AGAGUUUGAUCCUGGCUCAGGACGAACGCUGGCGGCGCGCCUAACACAUGCAAGUCGAACGGAGUUGUGUUGAAAGCUUGCUGGAAAUACAACUUAGUGGCGGACGGGUGAGUAACACGUGAGUAACCUGCCUUUCAGAGUGGAAUAACGUUUGGAAACGAACGCUAAUACCGCAUAACAUGAGAGAACGGCAUCGUUCUUUCAUCAAAGAUUUUAUCGCUGAGAGAUGGGCUCGCGGCCGAUUAGGUAGUUGGUGAGAUAACAGCCCACCAAGCCGACGAUCGGUAGCCGGACUGAGAGGUUGAACGGCCACAUUGGGACUGAGACACGGCCCAGACUCCUACGGGAGGCAGCAGUGGGGGAUAUUGCACAAUGGGACGAAAAAAUGACGGUACCUAAGGAGGAAGCCACGGCUAACUACGUGCCAGCAGCCGCGGUAAUACGUAGGUGGCAAGCGUUGUCCGGAAUUACUGGGUGUAAAGGGAGCGUAGGCGGGGAGACAAGUUGAAUGUUUAAACUAUCGGCUCAACUGAUAGUCGCGUUCAAAACUAUCACUCUUGAGUGCAGUAGAGGUAGGCGGAAUUCCUAGUGUAGCGGUGAAAUGCGUAGAUAUUAGGAGGAACACCAGUGGCGAAGGCGGCCUACUGGGCUGUAACUGACGCUGAGGCUCGAAAGCGUGGGUAGCAAACAGGAUUAGAUACCCUGGUAGUCCACGCCGUAAACGAUGAUUACUAGGUGUGGGGGGACUGACCCCUUCCGUGCCGGAGUUAACACAAUAAGUAAUCCACCUGGGGAGUACGACCGCAAGGUUGAAACUCAAAGGAAUUGACGGGGGCCCGCACAAGCAGUGGAGUAUGUGGUUUA
rnacentral:rRNA from 1 species